rnacentral:rRNA from 1 species
GUUGUAUGGUUAAGUGACUAAGCGUACACGGUGGAUGCCUUGGCAGUCAGAGGCGAUGAAAGACGUAGUAACUUGCGAUAAGCCCAGAUUAGGUAGUAACAACCAUUUGAGUCUGGGAUUUCUGAAUGGGGAAACCCACGUGCAUAAGCACGUAUCCUUACCUGAAUACAUAGGGUAAGGAGGCGAACCGGGGGAACUGAAACAUCUAAGUACCCCGAGGAAAAGAAAUCAACCGAGAUUCCGAAAGUAGCGGCGAGCGAAAUUGGACUAGCCCUUAAGCUUUACACGCGUUAGACGAACGGUCUGGAAAGUCCGACGAUACAGGGUGAUAGUCCCGUAGUUGACGACGUGUGUUCAGUGAAAUCGAGUAGGGCGGGACACGUGAUAUCCUGUCUGAAUAUGGGGGGACCAUCCUCCAAGGCUAAAUACUACUGACUGACCGAUAGUGAACCAGUACCGUGAGGGAAAGGCGAAAAGAACCCCUGUGAGGGGAGUGAAAUAGAACCUGAAACCGUGUACGUACAAGCAGUAGGAGCAGGCUUUGUCCUGUGACUGCGUACCUUUUGUAUAAUGGGUCAGCGACUUAUAUUCAGUGGCAAGGUUAACCAUCUAGGGGAGCCGUAGGGAAACCGAGUCUUAACUGGGCGUUCAGUCUCUGGAUAUAGACCCGAAACCAGGUGAUCUAGCCAUGGGCAGGUUGAAGGUUGAGUAACAUCAACUGGAGGACCGAACCGACUAAUGUUGAAAAAUUAGCGGAUGACUUGUGGCUAGGGGUGAAAGGCCAAUCAAACCUGGAGAUAGCUGGUUCUCCCCGAAAGCUAUUUAGGUAGCGCCUCGGACGAAUACUACUGGGGGUAGAGCACUGUUAAGGCUAGGGGGUCAUCCCGACUUACCAACCCUUUGCAAACUCCGAAUACCAGUAAGUACUAUCCGGGAGACACACGGCGGGUGCUAACGUCCGUCGUGGAGAGGGAAACAACCCAGACCGCCAGCUAAGGUCCCAAAUUACUACUAAGUGGGAAACGAUGUGGGAAGGCUCAGACAGCCAGGAUGUUGGCUUAGAAGCAGCCAUCAUUUAAAGAAAGCGUAAUAGCUCACUGGUCGAGUCGGCCUGCGCGGAAGAUGUAACGGGGCUAAGUAGUAAACCGAAGCUGCGGCAAUACUCUUUGAGUAUUGGGUAGGGGAGCGUUCUGUAAGCGGUUGAAGGUGUGUGGUAACGCAUGCUGGACGUAUCAGAAGUGCGAAUGCUGACAUGAGUAACGAUAAAGGGGGUGAAAAACCUCCUCGCCGGAAGACCAAGGGUUCCUGUCCAACGUUAAUCGGGGCAGGGUAAGUCGACCCCUAAGGCGAGGCCGAAAGGCGUAGUCGAUGGGAAACGGGUUAAUAUUCCCGUACUUCUUACAAUUGCGAUGGGGGGACGGAGAAGGCUAGGUGGGCCUGGCGACGGUUGUCCAGGUUCAAGUGCGUAGGCUU